CAUAUAACUUUCCUAAAUAGAGGCACGAAAUUCACAAAAGAAGAUAGCAGCAAAAUUUGUUCAUCAGCGCAGUCGGUCAAAUCAAAAUUUUCAACUGUAUGUAAGGCAGGCUCAAAUACAGUAAAAUCAGAGAUAAUAGGCUUCAUUGUAUUCAGUGCAUCAAACAUACCAUGAGUUAAUUUCGUUGGUUUAAGAAUCGCAGCUUUGAGCAAAACACUGAUGGAGUUAUUGGAAAACAUGUUUGCGUUAGUAGUAGAAG